AUGCCGGAUGCUCCAGUUGAUCGCAUGGUCUUCUGGGAAAGCUUUCGCGGUAUGGGAUGGGGUCGCGUCCUAUCAGCUUGACGGCGGGGUAACGGCCCACCGUGGCUUCGACGGGUAGCCGGCCUGAGAGGGCGACCGGCCACAUUGGGACUGAGAUACGGCCCAGACUCCUACGGGAGGCAGCAGUGGGGAAUAUUGCACAAUGGGCGCAAGCCUGAUGCAGCGACGCCGCGUGAGGGAUGGAGGCCUUCGGGUUGUAAACCUCUUUUAUCGGGGAGCAAGCGAGAGUGAGUUUACCCGUUGAAUAAGCACCGGCUAACUACGUGCCAGCAGCCGCGGUAAUACGUAGGGUGCAAGCGUUAUCCGGAAUUAUUGGGCGUAAAGGGCUCGUAGGCGGUUCGUCGCGUCCGGUGUGAAAGUCCAUCGCUUAACGGUGGAUCCGCGCCGGGUACGGGCGGGCUUGAGUGCGGUAGGGGAGACUGGAAUUCCCGGUGUAACGGUGG
rnacentral:rRNA from 1 species